rnacentral:rRNA from 1 species
AUAAGCCAUGCAUGUCUCAGUACAUGCCGCAUUAAGGUGAAACCGCGAAUGGCUCAUUAAAUCAGUUAUGGUUUCUUAGAUCGUACCAACAUUUACUUGGAUAACUGUGGUAAUUCUAGAGCUAAUACAUGCAAAACAGAGUUCCGACCAGAGAUGGUAGGAACGCUUUUAUUAGAUCAAAACCAAUCGGUGGCGGGCGGUAACGUUCGUCCAUCGUUUGUUUUGGUGACUCUGAAUAACUUUGUGCUGAUCGCAUGGUCUUCUAGCACCGGCGACGCAUCUUUCAAAUGUCUGCCUUAUCAACUGUCGAUGGUAGAUUCUGCGCCUACCAUGGUUGUAACGGGUAACGGGGAAUCAGGGUUCGAUUCCGGAGAGGGAGCCUGAGAAACGGCUACCACAUCCAAGGAAGGCAGCAGGCGCGCAAAUUACCCACUCCCGGCACGGGGAGGUAGUGACGAAAAAUAACGAUACGGGACUCAUCCGAGGCCCCGUAAUCGGAAUGAGUACACUUUAAAUCCUUUAACAAGGAUCCAUUGGAGGGCAAGUCUGGUGCCAGCAGCCGCGGUAAUUCCAGCUCCAAUAGCGUAUAUUAAAGUUGUUGCGGUUAAAAAGCUCGUAGUUGAAUCUGUGUGUCACAGUGUCGGUUCACCGCUCGCGGUGUUUAACUGGCAUUAUGUGGUACGUCCUACCGGUGGGCUUGCUCUUCACGGGGCGGUCCAACUAAUAUCCCAUCGCGGUGCUCUUCACUGAGUGUCGAGGUGGGCCGGUACGUUUACUUUGAACAAAUUAGAGUGCUCAAAGCAGGCUAUCUUCGCCUGAAUACUGUGUGCAUGGAAUAAUGGAAUAGGACCUCGGUUCUAUUUUGUUGGUUUUCGGAACCCCGAGGUAAUGAUUAAUAGGGACAGAUGGGGGCAUUCGUAUUGCGACGUUAGAGGUGAAAUUCUUGGAUCGUCGCAAGACGGACAGAAGCGAAAGCAUUUGCCAAAAAUGUUUUCAUUAAUCAAGAACGAAAGUUUAGAGGUU